rnacentral:rRNA from 1 species
ACGGGAGGCAGCAGUGGGGAAUAUUGGGCAAUGGGCGCAAGCCUGACCCAGCAACGCCGUGUGAAGGAAGAAGGUCUUCGGAUUGUAAACUUUUGUCUUAUGGGACGAUAAUGACGGUACCAUAGGAGGAAGUCACGACUAACUACGUGCCAGCAGUCGCGGUAAUACGUAGGUGACAAGCGUUAUCCGGAAUUAUUGGGUGUAAAGGGUGCGUAGGCGGGCUGUAAAGUCAGAUGUGAAAUACCGGGGCUCAACCCCGGAGCUGCAUUUGAAACUGCGGUUCUUGAGUGAAGUAGAGGUAAGCGGAAUUCCUAGUGUAGCGGUGAAAUGCGUAGAUAUUAGGAGGAACAUCAGUGGCGAAGGCGGCUUACUGGGCUUUAACUGACGCUGAGGCUCGAAAGCGUGGGGAGCAAACAGGAUUAGAUACCCUGGUA